CUCUCUCUCUCUCUCUCUCCAUUUUCUUCUUUGUACUUCUUUCCUCUUUUUUUUCAUCAUCCCAUCGUGUUCUUUAUACUCUUCUAUUUAUUUUUUACAUCUUUCCAGCUUCCUCCGUAACUUCUCUUUUCAUUUUUUAUCAUCCCCGUCUUUGCUUUUCUUCCUCUCCCCUUACUCUCAAUAUUUUUUUUCAUAUACAUAUAUCCACAUGCUAUACUAUAUGGUCAUCAAAUAUAGAAUGGUAUAUUUUAUUUUGUAAUAUAUCAACUAAUUAUGUUAUUUAACAUAAUUUAUUUUACAUUAAACACUUGUCCUACGAAUAAAUAUGCUUGUUCAUAUUGUCUACUGAUUAAAUUGCAUUGAACCCUAUAAAUAAAUAGUACUAAAAAAUUAUAUUAUUCUCUAUUGUUACAUUUAUGUUCGAAAUAAUCCAUUCUAUAUUGACAACAUAAAUAUAAUAGUAUUGGUUGUAGCGUGUGAUAUACACACAUUCACGCGCUCGUAAAUAACUAUAAUGUCCAAUAAUGUGGCAAAUUGACACAUUUUUCAACACAUAGCUAUAUUCUUCAUUUUUUUCCAAUAUGGUUAUACAGCAAAAUCACCCUAUUUAAUAAUGUAACUUGUGUGUGUGGGGGUGGGGGGUACCAAGUUGUGUACGAAGAGUACUCUCAAAGAAAUAACAACCAAAAAUGAUAGUUUAAAAAUUUUGUUGUCACUUUCUCAAUUUUUAAUGGACAUAACUCAAGAACUUUAUGCCAAUGGUAAAGAAGAAGCAACUGAUAUUGUAGAUUGUUUGAAGCUUUUUUUCAUAAAUAAUCAUGAGUGUCAAUGUUUCAGGCGACCAGAAUUUAGAAGCAAACCUGAUAAAUCAUGAGGCAACUGAAUCAUCAUCAUCAUCAUCAUCAUCAUCUGUACCUCAAACCAAGAACUAUAAAAAGUGGCUCUGUCUCUCCAGCUAUUUGUUCUUUGUCCUCUUCUGCCAACCACCUACAAUUUUUGGUAGAUUGUACUAUGAAAUGGUUGGAAAAUCACACAUGUGGUAACAUUUCUCCCCAUCUUGGGUUUUCCUUUUUUGAUUUUCUUUAGCUUCUUUCACAAAUCAAACAACCCAAAUCAACAGAAAUAAAUUUCAACAUGUCUUCUUCCUUCACAAUUCUUGCAUCAAUUUACAUGUGCACUAGACUAUCUGCGUAAGCUUUAUCUGUAUGCAAUUGGUUUACUCUACUGACCUGUUUACGAGUGAGAUGAGAAACUACAAACUUCGGCAAGUUUCCUAUGUGACCUUUGGCAUCAACAGCUAUUUCUUGGAAAGUCUACACAGGUGGUUUGUGGGGGUUGAUCUUCGAGUCAUCUUAUGUGUUCUCCAAUUCCACAACUGCUGUGGGAUUGCCUAUCGUUUCAAUCAUAGAUGUGAUAGCUUUUCAAUGAUAAACUGGAUGCAGUGAAGAUCUUCUUCAUCAUUUUAGUUAUUUAGGGCUUCCUUUCAUUUGUCUAUCAGAUAAAAAAGAAGUUAAGGACUAUUAGAGACAAAGUCUCCCAAAUCGGUAAUUGCAGAAGAUCCUUAGUAAUAUAUAAGAUAGAUGAGUCAAUCUACUCUUCACCAAUUGGUUUUAGGUUGGAAGCACAUCUAUCUUAAUAUGGUAUCAGAGCCCGAUCCAUACAAUCCAACCCGAUCCACCACAUCGGUUUGGCCCAAAAUUGGCCCAUCGAUCUUUGCCUAAACAUUCCGAAAUUGACGCUAAGAAAACAAUCAUCUCGAAUGAGCGUACAAAGUCUUCCACAUCAGUAGUUACAAAAAAACCUUAUUAAUAUAUAAAAUAGAUGAGCCAGUCUAGUUAUCACCAAUUAAUUUUAGGUUGGAACCACAGCUAACUUAACAAAGACUUGCUACAAAAACCAGGUCAAAGAUGACACAAAUUUGAUACGUUUAUGUAAUUUUCGUAAUGGUCCAUGUAAAUGGGAUGCAUGUCUCUCUAUACAGCUUGAGCCAUCGUUUCUUAAUGUCUUUUCUUAGAAAGAUAGGCCAUCGUUUCAGCUUAACCUCAACAUUAUCUUGAUUAGAAAAAACUUCAAGACUAGACAGACAAACAAACACCAAAGUGUGUUCCUAAUCAAUCCACAUGUCUCAUCAUAAGAGAAAGAUAGCCACACAAAACAAGUUUACGUUUGUCUUUGAGUUAUGUUAAUUUUUAAUUUUUUUUUGAAUAAAUGUUAAAUUUAUUUGAAAUAAAAAAAAUUGUACAAAGAAUACAGCUCUAUUUAAAAUGUAUUUACUAUAGAGCUAAAUUUAAGUUAUUUGUGUUUUCUUCUUCAACGAUUUGCAAACCACUCCUGCAAAUAAUGUUCAAAUCUCCCAUUCUGCCACGAAGCGAAUCAAUACGAUUCCAAAUCAGCUUGUCAAUGAUGUGUUGAUGUUUCACCAUUAAAAUGAAAAGGCAAAAUUUCAAAAUUUAAAUCCAUCUUGACUCAAAUCAUAUCUUGGUCAAUAAUUGUCGUAUCUUCAAAAAUUAAAUUCAUGACAAGACUAGAGAUAUUUAUAGAUGGGCAUGUACUCGAUGUGGGGACAUGUAACAUGUUACAAUGAAUACUUAACAAUGAUCUGUCCCGAAUCACUGAAUAUAUAGCUAGCAUUUGGUAGCAUAUUAUCAACCAAGAGAACUGAUAAUAAUACCUAAUACUCUAGCUCCUCCUUGUCCCAUCUCCAAGGAGGUAUAUUCCACAUCCACCAUGAAGGGUGAUCAAGAACUACAAGUCAUCGGUGAGUAAGCAUCAACCAGUUCCUGGUGAACUACUUUAUGUAGUUCAGCAUGGAAAAGAAUCAGACCCAACAGUUGAAGAAGAAAGAAACCAAACAGGAGAAUCUCACUCAAACAGAUACAAACGGUGGCUCCUGGUGUCUGUCUACACAUUCUUUGUCAUUUCCGGACAAUCAGUUGCUACAAUUCUAGGAAGACUAUACUAUGACAAUGGAGGAAACAGCAAAUGGCUAGCAACUGUAGUUCAACUUGUAGGCUUUCCUGUUCUGCUUCCUUAUUAUCUCUUGUCAAGCAAAACACACACAACAACUCAUAGAGAUGAUGGCAAAGCAGUCUUACAUAGGAACCGUGUCUUAGUUUACUUAGCUCUUGGGGUUCUUGUAGGAGGAGAUUGUUACCUUUACUCUAUUGGACUGCUUUACCUACCCGUUUCUACCUUUUCUCUGAUCUGUGCAUCUCAGUUAGCCUUCAACGCUUUCUUCUCUUAUUUCCUCAA